rnacentral:rRNA from 1 species
UACAGAGGUCCCAAGCGUUGUUCGGAUUUACUGGGCGUAAAGGGUGCGUAGGUGGCGGGGUAAGUCUGGUGUGAAAGCUCCGAGCUUAACUCGGAAAAGCAUUGGAAACUAUCCCGCUGGAGGGUCGGAGGGGAGACUGGAAUUCUCGGUGUAGCAGUGAAAUGCGUAGAUAUCCGGAGGAACACCGGUGGCGAAGGCGGCUUCCUGGACCGACACUGACGCUGAGGCGCGAAGGCGUGGGGAGCGAACGGG